UUGAUAUUUGUUCUUGAGAGGGAGAGGCAGACAGUAGUCAGUUCGCCAAGGCGGUCGACGGUGGUGUUUCAACGGCUUGCGGUUUGGUCGAGCCAACCCUGAGAGGAAGUCGCCGACGCAACCUACAACACCCACGGUAGGCGGCGAAUCUUUCUUAAGGUAACUGUGGUAUCACACAGGACUCGGUUCCGAUUCAGAAAAGUUCUGUUUGUAUCUCGUACUUACUAUUUGUCUACUGUUAUGUAUUUUGUAACUUUUUGUUCAUAUAAUCAUGUUGUUAUCAAUGAGAUUGUUCUCUGGAAUUUUGUUAUUGCCGAAUUUUUUCCAACAAAAAGUUUUUUUCGAGAACAUUUCAAAUUACUGAAGUUUGUAAAAUUGAGGACUGAGAGCGGAGAACUGAGCGCGGGGGGAUCUUACUAAGAAUAAUUAGCACCCCUUCCAGUACAGUAAUUGACCUAGAAGUAGCACCAACAGCAUAUAAGCAAGAAGCAGAGUCAAAGCCAGGAGCGGAUUCAGAGCCCGUUGAAGCGCAUGUUUAAGAAGCAGCACCACCAAUGGCAAUUGUUUAAGCACCCACUGAAGCAACAGUCAUUCCACGUACUAUUGUAUUUAUGUCUGUUGGCAUCCCUUGGAUUGCCUCUUGUAUUGGAGUUGCUAGGCGCCCGGCAACGCAGUUGUUUAGAAGCAAAUUUAUAGGUUGGGUAUAAUCUUUCAUAGUCAGAUAGAAAAUAAUAGAUGUUAUGAAAUAUCCCAUUUUCCUAGUCACUUUUCUUAAAGCCCUUUUGUACAAAAAGCAUACUGCGUAACUUAUCCAAUAUUCUUUUACUUCUUCGAAGUCGAUUUCUUCUCUUU